GGGCAGGGUUAAAGAUGAUAAGGUUCCCAGAGACUGAACUGGGUGGUCAUGGGGUGACUGGACACUGGAGGAAAUACUGCUUCUAAAGUCUAGUGGGAGAUAUAGCCAUGGAGAGUUUGCCAUCACAGAAAUUAUAGUCUCAGAAGUUCUUACUUCCUGCCAAAGAUGCACUGCUAAAGCAGCAUAUCUUAACCUCUCUCUCCUCUUGCCUUCUGGUCUUCUGCCUCCUAUUGGAAGUCAGCUCAGGUGAUCCCAUCCAUAUACACUCAUAUCAAAGUAGAAAUACUGGUUUCAGUGGAACAGAUUUUAGUGGAACAGCAAAUCACUGGUAUGUACAUCAUUUCUGAAUUGAAAUGAGUUGAUGGGUUACCUUUUCUACCAUCCUUAAUACUGUUGCUUCCAAAACCCUGCUCAGUCCAGUUUGUAGUGAGUAAAUGUCCCUAAUUAUUCUGUUUUUUUUUUUAAUUUUUCCUGUGCAUUAAGCCAUAUCUUGCAUGAACUGAAUGGAAAUAUUUUGCUGAUUGGUGGUCACCAUUCCAAAUGAAUUACCCAUUUUUCUAGUUCUCAAUGCAUUAAUCUUAAAUACCAUACGUAAAGUGCUUAUACAGUAACUAGCACAGAGUAAAUUCUUAAUCAUUAUUUUUGUACUUCUAGGUUUUACUGUGGGCCGUUGUACUUGAAGUCAAUUAUCUCAAUCGAAAUGAAUUAGCACAGUCUGGCACAUAUGGCCCUUCCAGCUUAUCCAAGCAUUAUCUCUGAAAGAUCAUCAAUGCUGCUGCAGUGUGUUGGAAAUAAUCUGCACUGCCAGCUUCUGCAAUGCUGGAGAAGGCCCUUCUGCCCUUAGGGCAUCAUCUCAGUAUGGAAUACUUUGCAUCUCCUCACCCUGUAUCAAGUCAAAAAUUAUCUUCUUGUCUUUCCCUUUCCUGCUACAAAAUGCUUCUAGGUAAGUCUCCUGUUGCAAAGAUUUAAAAACACAUUCAUGCUUUAGUGUUAAGAGUUGACAAACUUUAGGAUAGGAAAUGCAAAUUAUCUUCCAUUGAAAUUCCAACUCUGACGAUAUUCUUCUCAUUUCCAGAGUUGAAAAAGGUUCUGAGGCUGCAUUGAGACUCAGUGGAAAGAGAUGUUAUGAUCAACAGCCAAUGUUGUCCAUUGGUACACAGGUGGGUGGAGUGCAUAUAAGCUAUGUAUUUCCUGAUAAAACGUAUUUAUAACUUAGCAGAUAUUUCUUAAAUUACUUUUAAAAAGUACUCUUCAGUGGAAAAUUUCAGGCAUGUGCAGCUAACCAUCACUGAAUUGUGCUUUAAUUUCUAAGGUUGAUGUUUUAAGAGAUUUGUAGGAUAUACAACAUGUUAAAAUAUAUUAAUAUGAAUGUAAAUAUAGAUAUAGAUACAGAUAUAGCAUCUUCAGAAGGAGGAUAAGCCAAUUUAUGACACAAAUAAGAAUUUGGGGAGGAAAAACAGAAGCUAAAAAAAGCUCUGUGGACAUGUUUUUAAGCUAGCAAGAAUCAGCAAUACCAUACGGAACUAUUCUCUGACCACGUUUUUUGGGCUGUUAUGAUAUGGACCUCAUCCAUCCAUCCAUUCUUUGAUUUUCAUGACAACUUUGUAAAGUAGACUGGAAAGGAGAAAUUGUCCAGUGGCCAGAUGAAGACCCUGUGGAAUGAGGAAGUAAUUAGUACUCCCAAUUGUAAGAGUAUUCACGACCACUGGGGGAAUUCUUUUCACUAGCUUCUGCUAACACUUCUAUCACAGUCUCUUCUCGUAGAAUGGCAGAUACUGCCCACUUAUGGGAAGCUAUCCUGUCUACUUUGGUUUAUAAGUGUCUGGAGUUAGAAACCCUCUAAGUGGCCUUUUGUUCUCAAGACCAGAAUGAGGUACUUAACCGGUUCCAUAGUAAUUAAAUCCUACUCAUAAUUUCCCCUUCAUGCGCCAAGAGGAUACAUUCAGGCACCCUCCUCCCCUGCCCUGCACAGACUAUCAACAAAUUUUCUCUUUUACUGUAUUUCCAGCCCUUUCCUAAGGUUGUGCCAAUGAGAAAUGGGUGGAAAGAAAGGCUUUGAGCUUAAAGGACUAGAAAUAUUUACUUCCUGCAGAGCUAACUAUAUGUCAUUCGACAUAAUAGAGCAGCAAGCAGAACCCAGAUGUCAGCUUGGUUCACCCAAUCCUCCACAACUGAAAUAAAAUUAAAGUUCCAUCUAAUGAGUGAUAGAUG
ensembl:lncRNA